CAGGGGGUGAUAUUGAUCCUGGCUCAGGACGAACGCUGGCGGCGUGCCUAAUACAUGCAAGUCGAGCGCGGGAAGCAAACGGAAGCCUUCGGGUGGAAGUUUGUGGAACGAGCGGCGGACGGGUGAGUAACACGUGGGCAACCUGCCUGUAAGACUGGGAUAACUCCGGGAAACCGGGGCUAAUACCGGAUAAUACUUUUUAUCACAUGGUGAGAAGUUGAAAGGCGGCUUUUGCUGUCACUUACAGAUGGGCCCGCGGCGCAUUAGCUAGUUGGUGGGGUAAUGGCUCACCAAGGCGACGAUGCGUAGCCGACCUGAGAGGGUGAUCGGCCACACUGGGACUGAGACACGGCCCAGACUCCUACGGGAGGCAGCAGUAGGGAAUCUUCCGCAAUGGACGAAAGUCUGACGGAGCAACGCCGCGUGAGUGAUGAAGGUUUUCGGAUCGUAAAACUCUGUUGUUAGGGAACAAC
rnacentral:rRNA from 1 species